AUGAACCAAGAUAAACACAACACUCACUUUCUCUAUGAAGCAAUCAUAUCUUGCAAUCACUGGAAAGAAGGGUUCAAGCUGAAAAAUGCAACUUUACUUAUUCGAACAGGUGAAAACCAUGGGUCUCAGAACCACCAUUUAUCUGUCUUACAUAUACACACUCAGCGAGCAAAGACAAACAUGACAACACCUCAAGAGUGA